rnacentral:lncRNA from 1 species
UCGAAUGUCUCACAGCCAACAUCAUUAACUAUUCACACAUAUACACAUGUAUAUACAUAUACAAUUUCUACUACAUGUUGCCUUGGUGCCUUCGGAGCACGAUGACAAGUGGUUCAUGGGGGCGGUAGCGGGUAAUAAUAUUCUCCUUUCGGAUCUAUGACCUGGUCGAGCAAAAAUCCGGCUAUUUCCUCUUGAAGUGCUUGUAUGCGGUCCGAUGGUAGGAGCUUAUCCGCACCGAUCUGAACUGUUAAGAAGGAGAUCAAUAUGCAUGUGUGUUAGUUGUGUGACUAGAUAUCGAUAAUGGUGUGAAUAGUGUUCUGACAAAAACGUACCCAGUCCUGUCUAUCAGAUCUGCUCCUUUCGCACGUCAUCAUGCGAAUGUUCUCGCAAACAUAGUAUGCACACAGAUUAUUCCCUUUCGCCUGCCUCAGGGCCUUUACGAUAAUGGAAUUGAAUCAGAUAAUGAUUAAUCAAGCAUCAUAAUUAAUUAAUGAUAUUGAAACAAGAAUUAAAGAGAUGGUAGCUAGCUAGUACUACUUAAUUACUUACCUUGGGUCGAUGCCAAAACAAUUUUUUUUCCAUUCUCCUGGAGUCACCGCGAUGAACUUUGCCCAUGCCCUGCCCGCCGGCAAAGAAAAUUAAUAAAGGGGUUAUUAAAUAGUUCAUAUCAGGAACUAAUAGUUAAUAAUGAUUGAAAUUACCUGUUGACUAUCCCCUUCACGAUGGUGUAGUCUUUAUCUUCUUUAGUUAGUGAG